ensembl:snoRNA small nucleolar RNA SNORD50
GAUCAGAGAAGAACCUAUCCCAAACUGGAUUGGUUGAUGAAAAACACAUGUGAAUCUGACUUCUGAGUU